UACGUAGGGUGCAAGCGUUUGUCCGGAAUUUAUUGGGCGUAAAGAGCUCGUAGGCGGUUUGUCGCGUCGGCCGUGAAAUCUCCAACGCUUAACGUGGAGCGUGCGGUCGAUACGGGCAGACUUGAGUUCGGUAGGGGAGACUGGAAUUCCUGGUGUAGCGGUGAAAUGCGCAGAUAUCAGGAGGAACACCGGUGGCGAAGGCGGGUCUCUGGGCCGAUACUGACGCUGAGGUGCGAAAGCGUGGGGAGCAAACAGG
rnacentral:rRNA from 1 species